rnacentral:rRNA from 1 species
AACGUAGGACACAAGCGUUAUCCGGAGUUACUGGGCGUAAAGGGCGUGUAGGCGGACGUGUAAGUCUAUUCUGAAAGCUCCUGGCUAAACUGGGAGAGGCGAAUGGAGACUGCAUAUCUAGAGUGAGGAAGAGGAAAGUGGAAUUCCGCGUGUAGUGGUGAAAUGCGUAGAUAUCAGGAGGAACACCGGUGGCGAAGGUGGCUAUCUGGACAGAGUCUGACGCUGAGGCGCGAAAGCUAGGGGAGCAAACAGG